rnacentral:tmRNA from 2 species
GGGGGCGUAAGGAUUCGACGGGGAUAGAGAGGUCGAAAGGAGCAGGACGAGUCACCGUAGGCUCGUAAAAAUGCGGUAAAGAAAUAACUGCUGACAAUCAGUUAGCGUUAGCUGCCUAAUUAGAUAGGCAGCCGCCGUUCCUGUCUUAGCCUGUGAGACAGGAAACGGUGUGACAAUAGCAGGCUAAGCCCUUCUUCUGAUGCUCACAGGUGGAAGGGUGAUUUAAAGUGAGCUUACCUCUAUAGCCUUGCUUCUGGGGCACUAUAGGGGGACAUAUAAAACAGAAGCUAAUCCUGUAGGAGCCUUUUGGUUUCUCAUCUCCGGACGCGGGUUCGAUUCCCGCCGCCUCCACCA